GCCCGCUUAGCUCAGUAGUAGAGCGCAUCACUAGUACCUGCACUGGAUCAUGAUGAGGUCGCCAGUUCGAUUUUGAUAGCGGGCA